CGAUUGAUCAGCUAAAUGAAAUAAGCUAUUGGGCUCAUAACCCAACAAUGGUCUAUCCUCUAUCGA
rnacentral:tRNA from 1 species